AGCAGCCGCGGUAAUUCCAGCUCCAAUAGCGUAUAUUAAAGUUGUUGCAGUUAAAAAAGCUCGUAGUUGAAUUUCGAGAUCAAUUUGUUGGUCGUGCCUCGGUACGUACUGGCAAUUUUGAUUUCUCCCUUCUGAAGAACCAUGAUGUCAUUAAUUUGGUGUCAUGGGGAAUCAGGACUGUUACUUUGAAAAAUUAGAGUGUUUAAAGCAGGCUCGCGCUUGAAUACAUUAGCAUGGAAUAAUGAAAUAGGACGUUUGAUUCUAUUUUGUUGGUUUCUAGGAUCGACGUAAUGAUUAAUAGGGAUAGUUGGGGGCAUUAGUAUUCAAUUGUCAGAGGUGAAAUUCUUGGAUUUAUUGAAGACUAACUACUGCGAAAGCAUUUGCCAAGGAU
rnacentral:rRNA from 1 species